rnacentral:rRNA from 1 species
CAAUAGCGUAUAUUAACGUUGUUGCAGUUAAAAAGCUCGUAGUUGGAUUUCUGGAGGGAGCGUCGGCCCGUAUUUACGAGUGCGUGACGUCUCUGUCCAUCCUUGCGGGAAGGCACGGCAUUGAUUUGUUGUGUCGGAUCGCAUCAUUUACUGUGAAAAAAUUAGAGUGUUCAAAGCAGGCUUUCGCUUGAAUACAUUAGCAUGGAAUAAUAAGUUAGGACUUUGGUGCUAUUUUGUUGGUUGAGCCUAAAGUAAUGAUUAAUAGGGAUAGUUGGGGGCACCUGUAUUGCGUUGUCAGAGGUGAAAUUCUUGGAUUUACGCAAGACAAACAGCUGCGAAAGCGUCUGCCAAGGAUGUUUUCAUUAA